GAGCAGCUGCGCCACCGGCUCAGCCUCGCGGCGGGGGAAACCCGAGCUCCCAACAAAACGGUUCCAUCUUUGGCUAGGCCUUUGAGAGCUAAUGCUGGCAGCUGUUGGGAUGUCCUCUUCCAGGAAUGGUGAUGAGUUUCCCUGGAUCCAGCCCUGGCUUGGCUGAGGUUUUUCUCACUGUAAGAAGAGGACAAUAGCCUAUGAUCUACAGUGCCCAUUCCAACUCAGAGAAUCUUUACAUCUGGAGAUCUAUAGCAGGGCUAUCCCUAGUGACAUGCGUGAAGAAGCUUGGAAAUGGUGCUGGGUAGGAGCUGAGUGUGCAGAAUGUGGAAAGGCAUUCUAAACCAAAGGAAGAACACGAGUAAAGAUGAUGAAGCAGGGAUAAGGCUAAAAUGAAAUUUGUGAUCUGAUCCACAUACAAGCACAGUGUAGUACAGCUGGAAUAUAGAGAAGAGCUUGAAGACUUAUGAGCAACUAUCCCGGUACUCUUGGAGGCUCUGCAACCACAGUUUGAGAAACUCCGCGUUCAAAGUUAAAAACUGUCACCUGAAUAGUUAAUAACAUCAAAGAUUGUGAAAGCAAGUAUAAAUAACACAGAGAUUAAAAUAAUGAGGCAGGAUCAGAAAGGGUUAUGGUGGCCAUCCAGACAUAAAGAAAUUAGAACGUU
rnacentral:lncRNA from 1 species